rnacentral:tRNA from 1 species
UGUGAGGUGAUGAAAUUGGCAGACAUGCCCUCCUGUCUCGGGGGUGAGGAGUUCAGAAUAAAUCCAACUUGUUGGACUAACUGCCUCGUGGGGGUUCGAAUCCUUCCCUUACAG